rnacentral:rRNA from 1 species
UACGAAGGGGGCUAGCGUUGCUCGGAAUCACUGGGCGUAAAGCGCACGUAGGCGGAUUGCUAAGUCAGGGGUGAAAUCCUGGAGCUCAACUCCAGAACUGCCUUUGAUACUGGCGAUCUCGAGUCCGGGAGAGGUGAGUGGAACUGCGAGUAUAGAGGUGAAAUUCGUAGAUAUUCGCAAGAACACCAGUGGCGAAGGCGGCUCACUGGCCCGGUACUGACGCUGAGGUGCGAAAGCGUGGGGAGCAAACAGG